AUUGAACGCUAGCGGGAUGCUUUACACAUGCAAGUCGAACGAGUGGCGGACGGGUGAGAAAUAUAUCGGAACGUGCCCAGUAGCGGGGUAUAACUACUCGAAAGAGUGGAUAAUACCGCAUAAUACUGGAGCGGCCGAUAUCGGUUUAGCUAGCUGGUGGGGUAAAGGCGCACCAAGGCGACGAUCCGUAGCUGGUUUGAGAGGACGACCAGCCACACGGGGACUGAUACACGGCCCAGACUCCUACGGGAGGCAGCAGUGGGGAAUUUUGGACAAUGGGGGAAACCCUGAUCCAGCCAUCCCGCGUGUGUGAGAAGGCCUUCGGGUUGUAAAGUACUUUUGGCAGAGAAGCGGUAUCUGCAGAAUAAGCACCGGCUAACUACGUGCCAGCCGCCGCGGUAAUUC
rnacentral:rRNA from 1 species